UACGAGGAUGUGAAGGCUAUGGUGAUAUUGUUUUUCCUCACUGUCCAUGUGAUUCCCGUAAAAGAGGCCAUGUGGUGGCGUAUGUGGGUUACAAGUCCUUCAGAUUGCAGGCCUGCAAAGAGGAUGGCACAUUACAGACACAAGUGAUAGAUUUUGCUUGGUCUACCAUUGAAAAGUUUGAAUUAGACGAUGAAACUAUGGCAUUUUGUUUCCUAUAUAGACAGACAGAGGAGCUUAUCAGAUGGGUUAAGAUAUUCACUCCCUAUUUUUGGUUGGCAAUUCCCAGUGAGAGUUUUAUUCAGAAUUUUCUACACAAACACACACACAAAAUUUAUUUUACAUUGAAGUGCACUGUAUUUAUUGCACUAUCUAUAUGUUGCUGUCCUGAAGGUAAGAUUUUAUGUUUUUGUUUGCAUGUAGUAUAGUACAUUUAUACUUAAAAAGCAUCAGUUUGCUAAACACUUUUCUCUCUCUCUCUCUCUCUGGUAGAGUAUUUUUAGUGACAUAUCUUUAUAAGCCCUGCAUGCACACAGGAAAAGAUAGGGAUGUAAUGUUAAUUGGAUUUGGAAUAAAGAUUUAGGCUUGAAGCCAAGCACUGACUGGAAUCCAAGGGAUUAUUCAGCGGUAUAAUGAAUUUGGUUUGAGAUGAAUAUACGUAGUGAUGAAUUUAUAAAUAAAACAAAAUAAAGUAAUGAUUUUAAAACUAUGGUAAAAACUGAUAUCCCUCAUGAAAAUUAUAACUGCGUUUCUUAAUUGAAUUGUAAUGAGGAUAUAUCAAAUAGUCAUACAAAUCAAUACCUUCUGUACAUGCUUUUUUAUAAAAUCAAUAAUUGCAUAUACACAGUCACAUGCAAUGUGUAUGGUGCUUUAAAAAUUUAUCAUCCUACUUAAUAUGCUACAUUGAUUUGUGAAGUCAGUUGCUUUCAGGACCCUACUCAAAACUUUCAGAGGGACAAGAGAAUGAGAUUGAUUUUCAGAAGAUUGCUGCACCAGCUCUUGGGUAUUAUGUAGCUUAUACUACAGCGGGUGUGGGUCUUCAUUAUCUAAUGGAUUUAAUUUAUCAGAAGGCCAGACUCACUUGUCUGCUAAGUUGAUUGUAGGGCAACGUGGAAACAUAGUUGGAAGAGGAGAAUGAUACAAGCCCAAGGUCCCCAUUAGAGAAAGAGGCCCAGUACAGAAGUGGAAUGUGAGACAUAGGGGUGAAAUAUUACAGUGAAAUUAAAAACAACUGUUAAAUUGGGCUCAAAAACAAAUAAACUGGGAAGUGAACCUCAUGUCACCUUGCUCAACAAGGAACUUUUGCACAGUUUGAAUGUUAGAGGUUCCAAUAAACUGGGUACAUUUUAAUAUGACUUGAUUGAUUCACACUAUAAUAUUAAUGACAGCAGAUGUUCUAUACAUAGUACACCAGCUUGCUUAGGUUAGUACUGUACAGAUGUACACAGCAGGCGCAUUGGGCAUAAUUUACUGAUUUAGUAUGUUUUAAAGUUUUAAUUAUUACUUAGUAGCAUUAUGCAAGGAAUUGAAGGUUAAAAUGCAAUAUAAUACAAUUUGUAUAAAUUUGGUGGAAAAAAGGGUUGAAACCCUGUCCCUUUUAGAUUUUGUAGCUACGGUAUUACAUGAGAGAGAGAGAUAGAGAGUGUCUCAAGGAUUAGGAUGUCUCAAAGACUUAUUAGUCCAUUCGAGGAGACAUCAUGUGCUCACUUAUCUCUUGGAGCAGGUUUUUCAAUUCAUUUACGGUGUUCUAAUUAUGUUGUCCAGCUUUCUUUUAAACCCUUCCACACUGCUGCUGUUUACUACUUUUGGUGGCAGUUUAUUCCAUGUAUCACAUAUCUUGUAUGUGAUGAAGUUCCCACAAUGAGAUGUGUUUCUCUUCAGUUCUAGUUUCCAUCCAUUAUUUCUUGUAUUUUUGUUUAAUGUGAAGAGGUUACUGUCUAAUUUUGUUAUGCCUUUCAGUGUUUUGAAUGUUUCUUAGUUGACCUCGCAAUCAUCGUGUUUCUAAGUCAGUCAUACAUGUUCAGGCGCUCUAGUCAUCUUUGUUAACUUAUUUUCCUGAUGGAUGGAAUUAACUUUGUGGCUCUAACUUGUACCCCUUCUAAUCUAUUUAUGUCCUCUCUCAGUGUUGUUGAUCAAAACUGGACUGCAUAUUCAAGAUGGAGUCUAGUUAUUGAUGUGUAGAGCUGCAGCACCAUUUCCUUGUUUCUCUAUUUGAACUGCCUCUUUACAUAUCCCACUAGUUUCUGUGUCUUCUUUUGAGCUUUUAUGCAUUGUUUUAUGAAUUUUAAGUCUUGGUAUAAUGACUUGUUCUUGUCAUUCCUAAGCAGCAUGUAUAGUUUACAUGAGGGUUGUUUCUUCCUAUUUGUAGCACUACACUUAUCCAGGUGAAAAGGCAUUUGUCAUCUUUUUGACCACUCUUAUUUUCCUUAGAUCACUUCUUAAACUUGCUACUGUAUCUGGGUCUGCUGCAUUUACACCUACUAUUUUGGUAUCAUUUGCAAAUUUGGCUACCCUGCUAGUUGGGCCUGCAUCGUCUUUAAUGUAUAAAUAAAAAACGAGCGGGCCAAGGGUAGAACCCUGAAGAACACCACUUGUCACAUGAUAAGUACAUAAGACCUUUAUUAGUCUUUACAACAGAAAUGGGCAUUGAUAAGGCAAACGGAGAGACUUGGGGCAGGGGCAGGGGCAGGGGAGUACACUGGUGGGGGAAUGCCUUGCAAGCCAUUGGGCUACAUGGCAAGUGUACAGAGC